UACGUACUGAAUAUCAACGUCUUCCACAAAGCGCUAGUACAAGCUAGGUACAGUGCGUACACAGAGGUCAAAUGACCGUAAGUGACGAAUACCACGGUUAAUAUAUUAUGUGUCAAUACGUACUGAAUAUCAACGUCUUCCACAAAGCGUUAGUACAAGCCAGGUACAGUGCGUACACAGAGGUCAAAUGACCGUAAGUGACGAAUACCACGGUUAAUAUAUUAUGUGUCAAUACGUACUGAAUAUCAACGUCUUCCACAAAGCGCUAGUACAAGCCAGGUAUACCGCGUACACAGAGGCCAAGUGACCGUAAGUGAUGAUCACCACGGUGGGGUACAGGAUGCUGUGAUCCCUCGGCGCUGCUUGCGGCGCCACCAGCUUGGGGUACGGGUCUGCCGUGUGCAGACCUUCUGCUGUGGUUUCCGUGUGUGUGGUAGAUGGAGGCAUUGUUCUGUGGACAGCAUAUCCUUGACCUUAUCCCAAUAGGGUAGUGGAGUAUCAAAGGGGUUGUUUAUUUACUGGUUAAGUCUUGUACUUGAAAAAUUACAGAAAUAUGAUUAAAUUUUAUUUUUUAAUGGUUUCAAAGUAAACAACUUGUACAAAAAUAUAAUUGCAUAACCUAUAUACCAUUUGUGAAAUGACAAUUUUAGAUACUAUUUUAUCUGUGCUUUUAUCAUGGAUCGGAAUGCUAUCGUUCAAAAAUCUUUGCAUAGGUUCACACGACUAUUUUAACACAGAGUAAAAUGUAAUUUAAUUAAAUAUAUUCCUGCGGAAAAUAUUUCAGUUUAAUUAUUUUGAUUGGAUUUGCUAGUAGUUAUUACUGAAAUGUCAAAGAGCAAAAGACAUAUUUGUCUUUCGGAACGCACCUUUCUAAACGUCAAGUGUCACUUGUCAAUGUCAAUUGUCGAUGUUCCAUCAUUGUGUAAGUCA
rnacentral:lncRNA from 1 species